AAGUCUCUCUCUCUCUCUCGCGGUUUCCUCUUCCUUUCCUGUCUUUAUCUAGUCUUCUUCAACAUUCCAUUAAACCCUUUGUUUACUAUCACAAUUACAGUCACCCCCACCCUUCACAGAAGUUUCACUCUUUAUCUUCAUAAAAGUCUUAACCUAUUUUUUUUUUUAUCACAGAACAGAGAAACCAAUAGAGCAAUGGCUUCUGAUUCAUGGGCUUCUCGCUUCUCAACUUCUUCAAGAAGAUAUCAGACUCGAUCUGAUCUGUAUGAUGAGACUGAAACAGAAGAGGAUUUGAAAGCAGAGUAUUUGUGUCCGUUUUGCGGCGAGGAUUUUGAUGUUGUUGGUCUCUUUUGCCACAUCGAUGAAGAGCAUCCUGCUGAAGCCAAGAAUGGGGUAUGUCCAGUUUGUGCUAAAAGGGUGGGGAUGAACAUUGUUACUCACAUUACUGGGCAGCAUGGGAACUUCUUUAAUGUGCAGCGUAAGAGGAGACUGCGGAAGGGGGGAGCUAACUCAGCAUUUUCUAUACUGAGAAAAGAGCUGCGAGAAGGAAGUUUACAAUCCCUUCUUGGUGGAUCUUCGUGCUUUGUUUCGUCCUCCAAUACAGAACCUGAUCCAUUGCUUUCACCUUUCAUAUUUAAUCCACCCAGUUUUGAUGAACCACUGAAUGCAAAACCUCUCUCUUCUGUUGAAGGAAGCUCAGUGAAGGGGAGCACAACUGAGUUUUUAGAAAGGUUUAGAAUAUCGGUCUCUCCAUGAUCUCAAACCCUUGAAGGCAAGGACGGAACUAUAGUAGUGCUGAUACCAUAGUCUUCUCUGGAUGAAUAGGAAAGUCCAACAUCCACAUCUAUCAGACGAGGACCAGGAGAAGUCCCGGAAAUCAGAGUUUGUCCAAGGACUCUUGCUCUCCACCAUUCUCGAUGAUGAGUUAUGAGAGGAUUGUUAAUAUAAUGUUAGGAGUGUGAGCAAAGUGAAGAGGAAAGCUGUUCAAUUUGUGACACAAGUCGUGUUAGUUAGGUCCGAUUGACUACUAUGUACUCCUAUUUGUAUUUAGAGCUGGUGUGCAUAUUGCAUAAUGGAAAAAAUAAACGGAUUAAUAUUGAGCCC